rnacentral:rRNA from 1 species
AAAUUGAAGAGUUUGAUCAUGGCUCAGAUUGAACGCUGGCGGCAGGCCUAACACAUGCAAGUCGAACGGUAACAGGAAGCAGCUUGCUGCUUUGCUGACGAGUGGCGGACGGGUGAGUAAUGUCUGGGAAACUGCCUGGUGGAGGGGGAUAACUACUGGAAACGGUAGCUAAUACCGCAUAACGUCGCAAGACCAAAGAGGGGGACCUUCGGGCCUCUUGCCAUCGGAUGUGCCCAGAUGGGAUUAGCUAGUAGGUGGGGUAACGGCUCACCUAGGCGACGAUCCCUAGCUGGUCUGAGAGGAUGACCAG